rnacentral:rRNA from 1 species
GAUGAACGCUGGCGGCGUGCCUAAUACAUGCAAGUCGAGCGAACAGACGAGGAGCUUGCUCCUCUGACGUUAGCGGCGGACGGGUGAGUAACACGUGGAUAACCUACCUAUAAGACUGGGAUAACUUCGGGAAACCGGAGCUAAUACCGGAUAAUAUAUUGAACCGCAUGGUUCAAUAGUGAAAGACGGUUUUGCUGUCACUUAUAGAUGGAUCCGCGCCGCAUUAGCUAGUUGGUAAGGUAACGGCUUACCAAGGCGACGAUGCGUAGCCGACCUGAGAGGGUGGUCGGCCACACUGGAACUGAGACACGGUCCAGACUCCUGCGGGAGGCAGCAGUAGGGAAUCUUCCGGAAUGGGCGAAAGCCUGACGGAGCAACGCCGCGUGAGUGAUGAAGGUCUUCGGAUCGUAAAACUCUGUUAUUGGGGAAGAACAAAUGUGUAAGUAACUGUGCACGUCUUGACGGUACCUAAUCAGAAAGCCACGGCUAACUACGUG